rnacentral:rRNA from 1 species
GAUGAACGCUGGCGGUAUGCUUAACACAUGCAAGUCGAACGGUCACUUCGGUGAUAGUGGCGGACGGGUGAGUAACGCGUGAGAAUCUGCCUUCAGGUCGGGGACAACAGUUAGAAAUGACUGCUAAUACCGGAUGUGCCUUUGGGUGAAAGAUUUAUUGCCUGAAAAAGAGCUCGCGUCAGAUUAGCUAGUAGGUGGUGUAAGAGACUACCUAGGCUCCGAUCUGUAGCUGGUCUGAGAGGACGAUCAGCCACACUGGAACUGAGACACGGUCCAGACUCCUACGGGAGGCAGCAGAGGGGAAUUUUCCGCAAUGGGCGAAAGCCUGACGGAGCAAUACCGCGUGAGGGACGAAGACUUUUGGGUCGUAAACCUCUUUUCUCAAGGAAGAUGAUGACGGUACUUGAGGAAUAAGCAUCGGCUAACUCUGUG